UCACAGGACUGGACUUUGGAACAGCCUCAAGAUCCAGAUGGCCCUGAUUCUAUUUGUUUUUCAGAAGUCCACAAAUACCUGGAUUUUCCCUCAGCAUUGGUGGAGCUCAAUAUGCCUAUUGGUAGGUACUGCUUCCCAUCCUGGAAACGAGCAAAUGAUUUUCCUGGAAGCUGGACUAUUGGUCCUCGGGACGGUUUUCCUGUUCAAAAGAAAAGGCAACAUUCAGAAGCAAACUACGAUCUAGUCUCAUUCACUCCAACUGGUUCCAAGGCUGUAGUCUAUAUUUGAA